CGGGUGAGUAACGCGUGGGUAACCUGCCUUAUACUGGGGGAUAACAGCCAGAAAUGACUGCUAAUACCGCAUAAGCGCACAGAACCGCAUGGUUCGGUGUGAAAAACUCCGGUGGUAUAAGAUGGACCCGCGUUGGAUUAGCUAGUUGGCAGGGCAGCGGCCUACCAAGGCGACGAUCCAUAGCCGGCCUGAGAGGGUGAACGGCCACAUUGGGACUGAGACACGGCCCAG
rnacentral:rRNA from 1 species